rnacentral:piRNA from 1 species
UCUCUACACACAGAAGCCUCCAACCUCAUC